rnacentral:lncRNA from 1 species
AAACGAUCUUGUCGAUGAAAUAAACAAUCUAAAUCUUGGUAUCCCGAUCAAUGAGUCGUGCAUUUUGUCUAUCCUGUUAUACGCUGACGACAUUGUUUUACUAGCACCAGAUGAAGAAUCCCUUCAAAUGAUGUUAAAUGUAGUCAACAACUGGUGUUCAAAGUGGAGAUUAAGUUUAAAUUUUGAAAAGACAAAAAUAAUACAUUUUCGUUGUCCCGCAACCCCUCGAUCGAACUUUAACUUUCUUUUUGGAGACACA